GACGAACGCUGGCGGCGUGCUUAACACAUGCAAGUCGAACGGAAAGGCCCUGCUUUUGUGGGGUGCUCGAGUGGCGAACGGGUGAGUAACACGUGAGUAACCUGCCCUUGACUUUGGGAUAACUUCAGGAAACUGGGGCUAAUACCGGAUAGGAGCUCCUGCUGCAUGGUGGGGGUUGGAAAGUUUCGGCGGUUGGGGAUGGACUCGCGGCUUAUCAGCUUGUUGGUGGGGUAGUGGCUUACCAAGGCUUUGACGGGUAGCCGGCCUGAGAGGGUGACCGGCCACAUUGGGACUGAGAUACGGCCCAGACUCCUACGGGAGGCAGCAGAGGGGAAUAUUGCACAAUGGGCGGAAGCCUGAUGCAGCAACGCCGCGUGCGGGAUGACGGCCUUCGGGUUGUAAACCGCUUCCGCCUGUGACGAAGCGUGAGUGACGGUAAUGGGUAAAGAAGCACCGGCUAACUACGUGCCAGCAGCCGCGGUGAUACGUAGGGUGCGAGCGUUGUCCGGAUUUAUUGGGCGUAAAGGGCUCGUAGGUGGUUGAUCGCGUCGGAAGUGUAAUCUUGGGGCUUAACCCUGAGCGUGCUUUCGAUACGGGUUGACUUGAGGAAGGUAGGGGAGAAUGGAAUUCCUGGUGGAGCGGUGGAAUGCGCAGAUAUCAGGAGGAACACCAGUGGCGAAGGCGGUUCUCUGGGCCUUUCCUGACGCUGAGGAGCGAAAGCGUGGGGAGCGAACAGGCUUAGAUACCCUGGUAGUCCACGCUGUAAACGGUGGGUACUAGGUGUGGGGUCCAUUCCACGGGUUCCGUGCCGUAGCUAACGCUUUAAGUACCCCGCCUGGGGAGUACGGCCGCAAGGCUAAAACUCAAAGGAAUUGACGGGGCCCCGCACAAGCGGCGGAGCAUGCGGAUUAAUUCGAUGCAACGCGUAGAACCUUACCUGGGUUUGACAUGGAUCGGGAGUGCUCAGAGAUGGGUGUGCCUCUUUUGGGGUCGGUUCACAGGUGGUGCAUGCCUGUCGUCAGCUCGUGUCGUGAGAUGUUGGGUUAAGUCCCGCAACGAGCGCAACCCUUGUUCACUGUUGCCAGCACGUUAUGGUGGGGACUCAGUGGAGACCGCCGGGGUCAACUCGGAGGAAGGUGGGGAUGACGUCAAGUCCUCAUGCCCCUUAUGUCCAGGGCUUCACGCAUGCUACAAUGGCUGGUACAGAGAGUGGCGAGCCUGUGAGGGUGAGCGAAUCUCGGAAAGCCGGUCUCAGUUCGGAUUGGGGUCUGCAACUCGACCUCAUGAAGUCGGAGUCGCUAGUAAUCGCAGAUCAGCAACGCUGCGGUGAAUACGUUCCCGGG
rnacentral:rRNA from 1 species